UCUCCGUUGGUGAACCAGCGGAGGGAUCAUUACCGAGUUUACAACUCCCAAACACCUGUGAACAUACCUAUCGUUACCUCGGCCGUGCCCGCUCCGGCGGCCCGCCAGAGGACCCCCAAACUCUUGUUUUAUACAGUAUCUUCUGAGUAACACGAUUAAAUAAAUCAAAACUUUCAACAACGGAUCUCUUGGUUCUG
rnacentral:misc_RNA from 1 species